rnacentral:lncRNA from 1 species
AGCAACAAAAACAUAGGCUUGGUGUGUAACCGAUCAUGAAAGAUAGCUUGGUCCGUUUCUCCAUUGUUGGCUUAUAUUAAGCAAGAACAUCAGCCUGCAGAGAAGAAAAAUGGAGGACUGCUUUAUUCUGCGGUACAUCCACAAUAGUACAGCAAAUAAAGUAGUUAAAUAUGCGCUAAGAUUUAAGACCUUUUAAAAGGUAAGUAGUGAUCUAAAAGGUCUUGUAUUAGUUUGAAGAGGGAGCACAUAAUAAGACUGUAAGCCAGUACAUCAAAGUAAUGACGGCUUCCCAUUGAUUUCAUCAAACUAAUAUGACAAAGGGAAGGUGAAACUUCAGAAAACCAUAUAAAUUGACCACGAUGUCUUAAUUUAAAACUCUGAAAUGAAGUAAUAAACAUUAAGUCUGAAUGUUGUCACUAAAAAAGCAUAAAAAAAGCAGACCAGCCAGGAGUGCAUCAUAAUCAGUGGUUCAUCAUGCGCAAACCAGGCAGCAGUAGCCUAAUAACUUAGACGGAAAAAAUGCAAGAAGUCAAAGCACAAGGUGGGAAAUAGGACCGAGCAUUGACAGGUAACCAAAUAAUGAAAGAAUAUCCCCAUGAAAAUCAAGAACGGUACAUUAGCAUCCAGAAGUACAUAGAAACAAACAUUCCGCUUGGCAGAGUGUGAUCUCAGUAUGAUGUCAAUAGCUGGGACUAAGAAGGUAACCACGUAGAGUGUCACACCUAAGGCGUUUGCUUACGUCUCUAGUCUCUAGUAAUACAACUCACUAUUGAUUGAUUUAACUAAGGUAUUCUUCAGCUGGGUAUUUAUAAAGGGAAUUCACUAUGCUUUUUUACCAGCGAGUAGAGAGCAACUGAAGGACUUAUGUUUCUAAAUGCAAGAACAAACCUCACCAGGCUGCUGUGCAGACUUAUUGUCCGUGGAAGAUGCUACAGCUGAGCAAAAUUGGCUUGGGAUUUCUUCUAUGCCUGCUGCUCCCUCCUGCAGCAAUUAUUUGGAACAACAAAACAAUUUACUGUGAGAUGAGAGAAGGCACACUAAAGAAGCACAUCCAUAAGUGUAUAUCUAAUAAUAUAGAUGCUACAAAUCAAUAGAACUAAAAUACUCCAGCAAUUGGGAUCAGCUAGAUCUAUGUCUACAUCACCAAAUCAGAAGUUUAGUUACCUGUGGUUCGCUUGAUAGCAGUUGCAGGUUUUCAUGCGCUGAACUCAAGAACCGACCAGCAGCGACCAAAUCUAAGCACAACCAUCCCUCACAAUUUGAAUUCUACCCCAGCAAGUACAGACACGUCCUCUGCAACCUCAUACAGGUACGAAAGCGUCAUAAAGCACACCGCACUACGCCGCCACCACGACCUCCAAAACAUGUAUAACGACUGAAAUAAGCGGACGCAUUCUGUUCACACACAAGCAUGACAUAUAAGUGGGACGAGGCCGAACAAUACACGAUGGCGUGCCAGAUCUAGAAAAUUAAAAUGAUCAGUAAUUUAAACACCAUGACAACACAUAUAGGAAAGGAAAUAUGCAUUUUAGCUAGACAGAAAGCAAGCUAACCUCGAUGACAGAACAGAGAUGAAACAAAGCAGAAGAUCGGGACGCAGCAACACAAGAGAUCGCAGAACCUAAUAAAUAAAUGGACAUGAAGUGGUCAGUGCACCGGCAUGCUAUGGAAUAGACAGGUAAAAGAAGAGUCGUUCCCCAUGUUGGGGAUCGUUGCAGAAUUUUAAAAUUUUAUACGCAUCACCAAGAUCCAUCUAUGGAGUUUACUAGCAAUGAGAGGGAAGGAGUGCAUCUACAUACCCUUGUAGAUCGCGAGCGGAAGCGUUCAAGUGAACGGGGUUGAUGGAGUCGUACUCGUCGUGAUCCAAAUCACCGAUGACCGAGCGCCGAACGGACGGCACCUCCGCGUUCAACACACGUACGGAGCAGCGACGUCUCCUCCUUCUUGAUCCAACAAGGGGAAAGAGAGGUUGAUGGAGAUCCAGCAGCACGACGGCGUGGUGGUGGAAGUAGCGGGAGGGAGAGGUGUCACGGGAGGGAGAGGGAGGCGCCAGGGGCUAGGGUGCGGCUGCCCUCCCUCCCCCCUUUAUAUAGGCCCCUUGGGGGGGCGCCGGCCCUGGGAUCCCAUCUACAUGGGGGGCAGCGGCCAAGGGGGGAAACUUCCCCCCAAGUCAGGUGGGGCGCCCCCCACCCCCAGGGUUUCCAACCCUAGGCGCAGGGGGAGGCCCAUGGGGGGCGCACCAGCCCACCAGGGGCUGGUUCCCCUCCCACUUCAGCCCAUGGGGCC